CGGCAGUGCGGGACUCCGGUAGCCGCCCCUCCGGUAGCCGCCCCUCCUGCCCCCGCGCCGCCGCCCUAUAUGUUGCCCGCCGCGGCCUCUGGGGCAUGGAGCACGCUGCCCAGCCCUGGCGAUGGCAACGGCGACGGGGGUGGCGGAGGAGCGCCUGCUGGCCGCGCUCGCCUACCUGCAGUGCGCCGUGGGCUGCGCGGUCUUCGCGCGGAAUCGUCAGACGAACUCAGUGUACGGCCGCCACGCGCUGCCCAGCCACAGGCUCCGAGUGCCAGCGCGGGCCGCCUGGGUGGUGCAGGAGCUGCCCUCGCUGGCCCUGCCGCUCUACCAGUACGCCAGCGAGUCCGCCCCGCGUCUCCGCAGCGCGCCCAACUGCAUCCUCCUGGCCAUGUUCCUCGUCCACUACGGGCAUCGGUGCUUAAUUUACCCAUUUCUGAUGCGAGGAGGAAAGCCUAUGCCACUGUUGGCGUGUACAAUGGCGAUUAUGUUCUGUACCUGUAACGGCUAUUUGCAAAGCAGAUACUUGAGCCAUUGUGCAGUGUAUGCUGAUGACUGGGUAACAGAUCCCCGUUUUUUAAUAGAGGAAGAAUAGGCUUUUGAGUUCCUGUGCAGAUCACAUGAUUUAUGCCUCCCCAUGUUCUCUGAGGCAGAAAGGAUGUCCC
rnacentral:sRNA from 1 species